GACAGAGGGGGCAAGCGUUGCUCGGAAUUACUGGGCGUAAAGAGCUCGUAGGCGGUUUGUCGCGUCUGCCGUGAAAGUCCGGGGCUCAACCCCGGAUCUGCGGUGGGUACGGGCAGACUAGAGUGAUGUAGGGGAGAGUGGAAUUCCUGGUGUAGCGGUGAAAUGCGCAGAUAUCAGGAAGAACACCCGUGGCGAAGGCGGCUCUCUGGGACGGUACUGACGCUGAGACGCGAAAGCGUGGGGAGCGAACAGG
rnacentral:rRNA from 1 species